GGGGCCGGCCCUCCGCCCACAUGGAGGGGGCCGGCCCUCUGCCCACAUGGAGGGGGCCGGCCCUCCGCCCACAUGGAGGGGGCCGGCCCUCCGCCCACAUGGAGGGGGCGGGCACUCAGUCCACAUGGAGGGGGCGGGCACUCAGUUCACAUUGAGGAGGACUGGUCAGCAUCAACAGCAUUUCUGAUCCCGUUAGCUGAAAUUUACCAGAAAUUACCAGAAAUUAGAGUGUGCCCGCCCGAGCGAGUGAUGGCUAAAACAUGCAAAGACACGUCAGUGUAAUUGCGGAUGGCGAGAGCCCUGAAAUACAUCUGGACAGCUGCAGCGGUCUUCAUCACUGCCCCUUCUGCCAAUACAAAGCAUCAAAAUGUGUUAUCGACUAUCACAUCACAUGCCAUGCCUCGGUUAAAUACAGAGAGUUCACAAUCAUAAAGUGCGGUUUAGAUUGCAGGAAGAAGACGCACUUUCAUUGUUGUAAUUGUGCAAUAACAAUUAUGGACCGAAAACAGAUUUUAAAGCACCUGGAAUCGCACAACACCCCAGAGGCCCCUCCAGAGAGACAUGUGGCCCCUCCAGUCACCCCAGUGGCCCCCCCAGUGGCCCCUCCAGUGGCCCCUCCAGUGGCCCCUCCAGUGGCCCCCCCAGUGGCAUCUCCAUUCACACCAGUGGCCCCCCCAUGGCCCCCAGUGGCCCCUCCAUUCACACCAGUGGCCCCUCCAGUGGCCCCCCCAGUGGCCCCUCCAUUCACACCAGUGGCCCCUCCAGUGGCCCCUCCAGUGGCCCCUCCAGUGGCCCCCAGUGGCCCCUCCAGUGGCCCCUCCAGUGGGCCCCUC
ensembl:lncRNA